ACCAUUGUUAAAGGCUGUUGAUACUUGACAAAUGGAAGUACACAGCUUUAAAGUUAAAUAAAAUUUAUUGAAGGAUUUACUUUUAGAAUAAGUGACUUUUUAUAAAGAAAACAUGUUUAAAAAUAAUAUUUUUAAGCUUAAACAUACAUGCUCUUAGAUGCAAACAUGCAAAGACAGCGCUUCUAGAUAUCGUCUAAGUUCAUGUUUAAUACAUAUAUGAUAUUGAUAGUACCAACAGUAUCAUUAAUAAGAUUUUAAUUUUUUUCUCUCCCUCAUUACUUUUCAUAAUAGUUCAUCUUUUAGCAGUGAUCAAAUAAAUAGAAGUCUCAUACACAAAAUGAUUAAGAAAAAGUGUGAAUAACAAUUUUAAGAACUAAUUAUCAACUGAACAGUAAAAUGAGCAAGUGGAAAGAAGGAAUGAUGGAAUGCUGAAGAGAUGGUUAUGGCUAGAAGACUGGUGUAAUCAAUCGGCUUCAAAAUAAGCCUUAUUCUAAGUAAAUUUGGGAUCGUCUACAUGAAUCCUUCUUGUUUAAUCCACACUUUCAUUGUCAGAUCUAAUGCUACAAGAUUUUUAGCAGACACAUCCCAUGUAUGUAGAAGACUUGAGUAAAAAUGAGGUGUAAUUCUUAAUGCUAGCAAUUGGUUGAAACCUAUAAGAAUGCACGGAAAAAAUUCAAAAGUUAUCCAACCACAUCGAGCAGAUUUUGGCUGUAUUCAGCAAAAGUGACCGGGCUUGCCAAUUUUUAUGUUCUGAUCGGCUAGGAACCCGGUAAUAGCUUUUUUUUGCCAACUUUUGAAACUCCUGCAUCCAUCGACAAACACUUGGGCAUUUAGAGAAAUACAAUUUAUAAACAGAAGAAUCGGCAGGAAAGAUUACACAAAACUACAUGGAUACACUAUUACAACUAAGAAAUAAAGCAACUUAUUCUCUCAUGCCCAUGUCUGAUAGAAUUUUUUAAAACUCACUUUUAACCACACAUUUUCCCUGUAAAAUAAUUUUGUAUGUGAAUCUAUAAUCU
rnacentral:lncRNA from 1 species